UUUGAUGGCGACCGGCGCACGGGUGAGUAACACGUAUCCAACCUGCCGAUGACUCGGGGAUAGCCUUUCGAAAGAAAGAUUAAUACCCGAUGGCAUAGUUCUUCCGCAUGGUGGAACUAUUAAAGAAUUUCGGUCAUCGAUGGGGAUGCGUUCCAUUAGGUUGUUGGCAGGGUAACGGCCCACCAAGCCUUCGAUGGAUAGGGGUUCUGAGAGGAAGGUCCCCCACAUUGGAACUGAGACACGGUCCAAACUCCUACGGGAGGCAGCAUG
rnacentral:rRNA from 1 species